rnacentral:ncRNA from 1 species
AUAUCGUGUUUAAUAAAUGAGUCCCACUUAAAAGCGAUUUUAAGUUCAAAACUGGAUGAAUUGCUGGAAAUCUAACAUGUAAUGAUGUGGACAAUCAGCAGCCAAGCCGCUAGCAGCGGAAGGUUCAGAGACUACCUGAGCGAUAGCAGUAUUGCUUAAUAACAGGAAUUAGCUAAGGGUUAAUAACUUAGUGAAACAGCGUCCAGCCCUCUUAUUUGAGGUGAUGAUAUAGUCCGUGCAGUAACGUAAGUUAUUG